rnacentral:rRNA from 1 species
GACGAACGCUGGCGGCGUGCCUAAUACAUGCAAGUAGAACGCUGAAGAGAGGAGCUUGCUCUUCUUGGAUGAGUUGCGAACGGGUGAGUAACGCGUAGGUAACCUGCCUUGUAGCGGGGGAUAACUAUUGGAAACGAUAGCUAAUACCGCAUAACAAUGGAUGACCCAUGUCAUUUAUUUGAAAGGGGCAAAUGCUCCACUACAAGAUGGACCUGCGUUGUAUUAGCUAGUAGGUGAGGUAACGGCUCACCUAGGCGACGAUACAUAGCCGACCUGAGAGGGUGAUCGGCCACACUGGGACUGAGACACGGCCCAGACUCCUACGGAGGCAGCAGUAGGGAAUCUUCGGCAAUAGGGGCAACCCUGACCGAGCAACGCCGCGUGAGUGAAGAAGGUUUUCGGAUCGUAAAGCUCUGUUGUAAGUCAAGAACGAGUGUGAGAGUGGAAAGUUCACACUGUGACGGUAGCUUACCAGAAAGGGACGGCUAACUACGUG